rnacentral:rRNA from 1 species
UCGACGAUGCUUUCCGGCAUAGUGGCGCACGGGUGCGUAACGCGUGGGAAUCUGCCCUCAGGUUCGGAAUAACAGUUGGAAACGACUGCUAAUACCGGAUGAUGACGUUAAGUCCAAAGAUUUAUCGCCUGAGGAUGAGCCCGCGUAGGAUUAGCUAGUUGGUGUGGUAAGAGCGCACCAAGGCGACGAUCCUUAGCUGGUCUGAGAGGAUGAUCAGCCACACUGGGACUGAGACACGGCCCANACUCCUACGGGAGGCAGCAGUGGGGAAUAUUGGACAAUGGGCGAAAGCCUGAUCCAGCAAUGCCGCGUGAGUGAUGAAGGCCUUAGGGUUGUAAAGCUCUUUUACCCGGGAUGAUAAUGACAGUACCGGGAGAAUAAGCUCCGGCUAACUCCGUGCCAGCAGCCGCGGUAAUACGGAGGGAGCUAGCGUUGUUCGGAAUUACUGGGCGUAAAGCGCACGUAGGCGGCUUUGUAAGUUAGAGGUGAAAGCCUGGAGCUCAACUCCAGAAUUGCCUUUAAGACUGCAUCGCUUGAAUCCAGGAGAGGUGAGUGGAAUUCCGAGUGUAGAGGUGAAAUUCGUAGAUAUUCGGAAGAACACCAGUGGCGAAGGCGGCUCACUGGACUGGUAUUGACGCUGA